rnacentral:rRNA from 1 species
AGAGUUUGAUCCUGGCUCAGGAUGAACGCUAGCGGCAGGCUUAACACAUGCAAGUCGAGGGGCAGCGGGGAGGAAGCUUGCUUUCUCCGCCGGCGACCGGCGCACGGGUGAGUAACACGUAUGCAACCUGCCCCUGUCAGGGGGACAACCCGCCGAAAGGCGGGCUAAACCCGCGUACAUGCCACCGGGGCAUCCCGGAGGCAGGAAAGGCUUCGGCCGUACAGGGAUGGGCAUGCGGCGCAUUAGGCAGUAGGCGGGGUAACGGCCCACCUAACCGACGAUGCGUAGGGGUUCUGAGAGGAAGGUCCCCCACACUGGUACUGAGACACGGACCAGACUCCUACGGGAGGCAGCAGUGAGGAAUAUUGGUCAAUGGUCGGGAGACUGAACCAGCCAAGCCGCGUGAGGGAGGAAGGUACAGAGUAUCGUAAGCCUCUUUUGUCAGGGAACAAAGACUGGGACGCGUCCCCGGAUGAGUGUACCUGAAGAAAAAGCAUCGGCUAACUCCGUGCCAGCAGCCGCGGUAAUACGGAGGAUGCGAGCGUUAUCCGGAUUUAUUGGGUUUAAAGGGUGCGCAGGCGGUCUGUUAAGUCAGCGGUCAAAGCCCGGGGCUCAACCCCGGCCCGCCGUUGAAACUGGCAGUCUCGAGUUGGAGAGAAGUAUGCGGAAUGCGCGGUGUAGCGGUGAAAUGCAUAGAUAUCGCGCAGAACUCCGAUUGCGAAGGCAGCAUGCCGGCUCCACACUGACGCUGAGGCACGAAAGCGUGGGUAUCGAACAGGAUUAGAUACCCUGGUAGUCCACGCAGUAAACGAUGAAUGCUGGCUGUCCGGGGGGACUGACCCCUGGGUGGCGAAGCGAAAGCGAUAAGCAUUCCACCUGGGGAGUACGCCGGCAACGGUGAAACUCAAAGGAAUUGACGGGGGCCCGCACAAGCGGAGGAACAUGUGGUUUAAUUCGAUGAUACGCGAGGAACCUUACCCGGGCUCAAACGGGGAGUGGCGCAGGCAGAGACGCCUGUUUCCCACGGGACACUCCCCGAGGUGCUGCAUGGUUGUCGUCAGCUCGUGCCGUGAGGUGUCGGCUUAAGUGCCAUAACGAGCGCAACCCCCGCGUGCAGUUGCUAACAGUCAACGCUGAGGACUCUGCACGGACUGCCGGCGCAAGCCGCGAGGAAGGCGGGGAUGACGUCAAAUCAGCACGGCCCUUACGUCCGGGGCGACACACGUGUUACAAUGGGUGGUACAGCGGGAAGCCAGGCGGCGACGCCGAGCGGAACCCGAAAUCCACUCUCAGUUCGGAUCGGAGUCUGCAACCCGACUCCGUGAAGCUGGAUUCGCUAGUAAUCGCGCAUCAGCCAUGGCGCGGUGAAUACGAAGCCGGGCCUUGCACACACCGCCCGUCAAG